rnacentral:rRNA from 1 species
UACGUAGGGGGCUAGCGUUGUCCGGAUUUACUGGGCGUAAAGGGCGCGUAGGCGGCCACCGCAAGUCGACUGUGAAAUCUCCGGGCUUAACCCGGAAAGGUCAGCCGAUACUGCGGGGCUAGAGUGCAGAAGGGGCAACUGGAAUUCUCGGUGUAGCGGUGAAAUGCGUAGAUAUCGAGAGGAACACCUGCGGCGAAGGCGGUUGCCUGGAGCUUUGCUGACGCUGAGGCGCGAAAGCGUGGGGAGCGAUCCGG